rnacentral:lncRNA from 1 species
AUUCUGUUCAAAAGAGGAUUUGUUUGUGAUAUUCCUUUAAGAAUCUUUAUUUAUUCCCCCAACAGUUUCUUUUUCUGCAUCCGCUGCUCUGUUAAGUGAUCACCACAUUCAUUGUUCUCGUUUCUAUUAUUUCUGAAAAAAAUCUUCAGGAUUCUGCUUGUGGGAGUGGAUGACAUUUUUACAGUGUUUACAGGCUGAAAAUUUUUCGAGCUUUUAUGCUCUGCUUCCGUUAUAAGGAGGAGGCCUCACAAUCCUGGUGGAAGGCAAGGAGGAGCAAGUCACAUCUUAUGUGGAUGGCAGCAGGCAAAGAAAGCUUAUGCAGACACAAAAUGAACAAGAUGUCUGUGGCAACCCUCAGACCAUUGACGCCUUCUCUCCUAUGUAUCAAAUCACACAUUUGGACGUUGACUGAACCCUCACAUGUCAGAUGCUCAAUAUUGAGCUUUAUCUAUUCCAGAAUGUCAUAUAGCUGGUAUAAGAACCUGAAGAUUGGAUCUUCUGAGAACAUCAGAGAAAGACUGUCCUUGCCAUCCAUACUACAGCAAAACUUUGGGACCUUGAACUUUGGGUUCACAAUCUCACAACCAAGAAGGAUCCCUCUACAAUUUUGGAACAGUACACCCAUUGGAAACCUUAAGCAUUUCCUGAACAGGGAAAAGUUGAAAGCAUUCCCACUGAGAAAUGGAACAAGACAAGGAGGCCCACUCUUACCACUUCUGUUCGACAUAAUACUAGAAGUCCUAGACAGAGCUAUCAGAAAAGAGAAAGAAAUAAAUGGCAUUCAAAUCGGUAAAGAGGAAGUCAAACUGUUGCUAUUUGCUGGUGAUAUGAUCAUAUAUCAGAAAACUCUAAAGACUCCUCUAAAAAGUUCCUCAACUGGUAAAGGAAUUCAGGAGAGUUUCAGGAUACAAAAUUAAUGUACACAAAUCCAUUGCUCUGCUAUACACCAAUAGCAACCAAGCUGAGAAUCAAAUCAAGAACUCAACCCCUUUCACAAUAGCUGCAAAAAGUAAAAUAAAA